rnacentral:rRNA from 1 species
GCGAGCGGCGGAUGGGUGAGUAACACGUGGGGGAACCUGCCCCUAAGUCUGGGAUACCAUUUGGAAACAGGUGCUAAUACCGGAUAAUAAAGCAGAUCGCAUGAUCAGCUUUUGAAAGGCGGCGUAAGCUGUCGCUAAGGGAUGGCCCCGCGGUGCAUUAGCUAGUUGGUAAGGUAACGGCUUACCAAGGCGACGAUGCAUAGCCGAGUUGAGAGACUGAUCGGCCACAUUGGGACUGAGACACGGCCCAAACUCCUACGGGAGGCAGCAGUAGGGAAUCUUCCACAAUGGACGCAAGUCUGAUGGAGCAACGCCGCGUGAGUGAAGAAGGUUUUCGGAUCGUAAAGCUCUGUUGUUGGUGAAGAAGGAUAGAGGUAGUAACUGGCCUUUAUUUGACGGUAAUCAACCAGAAAGUCACGGCUAACUACGUGCCAGCAGCCGCGGUAAUACGUAGGUGGCAAGCGUUGUCCGGAUUUAUUGGGCGUAAAGCGAGCGCAGGCGGAAAAAUAAGUCUAAUGUGAAAGCCCUCGGCUUAACCGAGGAACUGCAUCGGAAACUGUUUUUCUUGAGUGCAGAAGAGGAGAGUGGAACUCCAUGUGUAGCGGUGGAAUGCGUAGAUAUAUGGAAGAACACCAGUGGCGAAAGGCGGGCUCUCUGGUC